rnacentral:rRNA from 1 species
CUCAGUACGAGAGGAACCGUUGUGUCAGGUCUCUGAUAAUGCCGUUGGCUGAAAAGCCAAUGCGGCGAAGUUAUCGCCUGUAGGAUUAAGGCUGAACGCCUCUAAGCCCGAAUCCAUGCUGGAUAGGAACGAUAUUUUGGCACCUCCAUCUUUACGUGGCUUACUACGAUAGAGCUCACCCUCGGGUUGAGUUCCAAUGUCAUACCGUUGGUUUGCAGGGACCGUAGGCAGACUAUGCCUGCGGCUCCGACGAAACCAGAAUCAUAAUUCUAAACAUGGAAGUGAUAAGAUCUCUUGUAGACGACUUGAAUACAGAACGGGGUAUUGUAAGACUUAGAGUAGCCUUGUUGUUACGAUUUUCUGAGAUUAAGCCUUUGUUCUCUAGAUC